ensembl:lncRNA
CUCAAGACAUUCUGAAUUUAACUUAAUGAGAUUAGUCUUUUGCUUGAAUUCACUAAUCCGCAGUGACUACAAUAUAAAAUCUUGCAAUUCUGUUACAACAUACCACCUACUUGCUCUUUCUUGGCCUCACAAAUUGUUUCUCUGAGGGGCUGCUACGAAAGAAGAAUAUACUUUUAUACCAGGAACUACCAUUUAAGUUAUCUCCUUCCAUCCAUAAUGCUGUUUUACAGACUGAAAUAAGAAGAGCUGGUACUGUUAAAGGAGCUCUCUCAAUCCUUUUUACUGGUGUUUUCCUGGAAAAAAAAAGUCACAGUGUUUGUUUGUUUUACAGUAUAUUUUGUUUUAGUUUUACUUGUGUUCAGCAAAGAUUAUUGACACUGAAAAGUGAAAGCCUGAGAAGAAAUGGAGGAGCCCAGAAAAAAUACUGGAAAGAAAGAGAAAGAAGGAUUGAAAGAAAGUCAAGAGAGAAGUACGCUAAGAAGCUGAGGAACUAACCAAGUUGUUCUUCAGAACCCUCUGUUGCCUAUGUGAAAAAAGACAGAAAAGUAAAGAUGGCACAAUUUAUCACAUACCAAGGGAGAGUGUAUGGCAAACAGAGAAUUCAAGCUUCAGUUCCCAAAGAAGAGGGGCACCAAGAGAAUGGCCUGGUGGGAGCGCGUCUGUUAGCUGCGCCCAACUCACUGCAGCAUCAGAAACCGUUCACAGACACUCAGCCACUUCACUGGAAAGAAGUAGAUUGAACACAAGUAGCUUUGAGCUUUGCUCUUGUGAUUGAAGCCAGCUCACGUUUAGGUACCGCUGGACAAAACGGAACCGCGCGUCUCGAUAUCUGUCUCCCCUAGAGUAAGAAAUAGGUAGCAGUCCCUUAAUUCUUCUAACUUAGUUUAGAAUCAGUUAAUUAAUCAGUAGCUGUGACUAAUUACUCACUUCCAAUUAACCUGGAAACUGUUACAAAAUGAAG